rnacentral:rRNA from 1 species
UACGGGGGGAGCAAGCGUUGUUCGGAUUUACUGGGCGUAAAGGGCGCGUAGGCGGUCAGCACAAGUCAGUUGUGAAAUCUCCGGGCUUAACUCGGAAAGGUCAACUGAUACUGUGCGACUAGAGUGCAGAAGGGGCAACUGGAAUUCUCGGUGUAGCGGUGAAAUGCGUAGAUAUCGUAAGGAAGACCAGUGGCGAAGGCGAGUCUCUGGACAGUUCCUGACACUGAGGCGCGAAGGCCAGGGGAGCAAACGGG